rfam:Clostridia bacterium 41_269 MPF_scaffold_11, whole genome shotgun sequence.
GGGCGCGUAGCUCAGUGGGAGAGCGCUUGACUCACAUUCAAGAGGUCGCAGGUUCAAUCCCUGCCGCGCCCA